UGUAUAUUAUAGGAGUACUGCAGUUGCCGCCUGACAGCUGCUAAAAGCCGCAUCGCCAUUGUUAUCUUAAUGGUAUGGCGGUAGUUUUUAAGAUCGCAGCUCGUGCUGCGUGAACAGCGUUUACUUUAGUUUUCUUCCUUGUUUUUGACAUUCCAUGUGUUCGUUUGGUCAUAGGGAGGUCUUAUCAAUCGCAUUUUUCGUAGCCUACGAAGAGCGACGCGAAGGUUCGUUAAAAGAAUACCUAUAACAACCUGACAGCUGGCAUGGCGACGAGCGGCGCGAGCGCUGACGGCAGUUUGACGCGAACGACGGCGGAGGAAACGGAGGCAUAUUUUGCUUGGGUUGAAUACGUGCAGUCUGUCGCAGAAUCGGCAGAUAUGGAGGAAAAGGUACGAAGCGCCGUGGACAAAACUAAGGCUUGUAGGCGCAAGUACACCUGCGAAAUAGCCGAGGCUUUAAAGGAGGAGAAGCGCCUGAAAGCUCAAAUCGCCUACUCUAAGGUAGUUGCGACAAACAAAGACAACCUGGCGACACUGGAUACACACGGUGACAUUGGUGAUCUGAGGGAUGAUUUUGCUGAACAGAGCAGGAAGCACUUGGAUGCUGGUGUCGUGGUCAUCAGAGAUGCCAAGCCUGCCAAUAGAGGUUGCCGUAUACGGUCACCCGAGUCUUGGCGGCCAGAGCGUCUCAAGGUCGUGCCGGUGCCUCGGCAGUUGUAUACUCUUAGACAAAGAGAAGCUGGGCUCAAGUCUGUCGGCGAUGGCUGCGAAGGGUGGAGCGUUAAAGCACCUGGCUCUUGCUGAUGCGUCAGAGGCACGCUGGAAAUUUGCUAAAGGGGUCCUGGUCGGUGGACAGGAGCUUUCCAGGAUGUCAUCAUUGAAGAAGGAGAUCACAGAGACCUGCAAGGCACUGGAAUUCUUAAAAGCAGUACAAGACGUGUGUCAAGACGAGACUUCAGAUUCUCAGUACAACACUGUUCUGGAUCUUGAAAGUUUGAACCUGUCGUCAUGAUCCUGGAACUGAGAACAUAAGAAUGAGUAUGUUAUUUGCAGCCUUUACUUUGUAAGUUAAAUAAUAAAUAUGGUUUGGUGCUGGCGCAGCACUGUGUUUGAAA